rnacentral:rRNA from 1 species
GUGGGGAAUAUUGGGCAAUGGGCGCAAGCCUGACCCAGCAACGCCGCGUGAAGGAAGAAGGCUUUCGGGUUGUAAACUUCUUUUACCAGGGACGAAACAAAUGACGGUACCUGGUGAAUAAGCCACGGCUAACUACGUGCCAGCAGCCGCGGUAAUACGUAGGUGGCGAGCGUUAUCCGGAUUUAUUGGGUGUAAAGGGCGUGUAGGCGGGACAGCAAGUCAGAUGUGAAAACCAGAGGCUCAACCUCUGGCCUGCAUUGGAAACUGUUGUUCUUGAGUGUCGGAGAGGUAAUCGGAAUUCCGUGUGUAGCGGUGAAAUGCGUAGAUAUACGGAGGAACACCAGUGGCGAAGGCGGAUUACUGGACGAUAACUGACGCUGAGGCGCGAAAGCGUGGGGAGCAAACAGGAUUAGAAACCCGAGUAGUCC